AGUGAACGCUGGCGGCAGGCUUAACACAUGCAAGUCGAACGGCAGGGCAGUAAGUGCGUGGGGUUACCGGGGGCGAGACGGGGACGUGAGAGGUAUAUAACCGGACCUACACUUUGGGGGGGGAUAAGGAAGCGGGACCUACGCUAAGAUCGGAUACGACCUAGGGGGGAAAGGAGGGGAGCUUCUCGGCGUGCGGGGAUGAAGGAGCCGAUGACGGAUUAGCUAGUUGGCGGGGUAAAGGCCAAGCAAGGCGACGGUCGGCAGCAGGUCUGGGAGGAUGAUCACCCACACUGGAGCUGGGCCACGGUCCAGGCUCCUACGGGAGGCCCCAGUGGCGAAUGUUGGACAAUGGGGGCAAUCCUGAUCCAGCCGUCCCGCGUGGGUGAAGACGGCCUUCGGGUUGUAAAGCCCUUUUGUUGGGAAAGACACGCUGCAGGUUGAUACCCCGCUUUUGUGACGGUACCCGGAGAAUAAGCACCGGCUAACUUCGUG
rnacentral:rRNA from 1 species